AAUCUUGCACAAUGGGGGAAACCCUGAUGCAGCGACGCCGCGUGAGCGAAGAAGCCUUUCGGGGUGUAAAGCUCUUACGCCAGGGACGAUAAUGACGGUACCUGGAGAAGCAGCUGCGGCUAACUACGUGCCAGCAGCCGCGGUAAUACGUAGGCAGCAAGCGUUGUUCGGAAUUACUGGGCGUAAAGGGUGCGUAGGCGGCGCCUUAAGUUUGGUGUGAAAUCUCCCGGCUCAACCGGGAGGGUGCACUGAAAACUGGGGCGCUCGAGUGGGGGAGAGGAAAGCGGAAUUCCUGGUGUAGCGGUGAAAUGCGUAGAGAUCAGGAGGAACACCCGCGGUGUAGACGGCUUUCUGGACCAUGACUGACGCUGAGGCACGAAAGCGUGGGGAGCA
rnacentral:rRNA from 1 species